rnacentral:rRNA from 1 species
GACAGAGGGUGCAAACGUUGUUCGGAAUUACUGGGCGUAAAGCGAGUGUAGGCGGUUUGAUAAGUCGGAUGUGAAAGCCCUAGGCUCAACCUGGGAAGUGCACCCGAUACUGGCUGGCUUGAGUCCCGGAGAGGUUGGUGGAAUUCUUGGUGUAGAGGUGAAAUUCGUAGAUAUCAAGAGGAACACCGGUGGCGAAGGCGGCCAACUGGACGAGGACUGACGCUGAGACACGAAAGCAUGGGGAGCAAACAGG